rnacentral:rRNA from 1 species
AUACCUACGGGAGGCAGCAGUAGGGAAUCUUCCACAAUGGACGAAAGUCUGAUGGAGCAACGCCGCGUGAGUGAAGAAGGGUUUCGGCUCGUAAAACUCUGUUGGUAGUGAAGAAAGAUAGGGGUAGUAACUGGCCUUUAUUUGACGGUAAUUACUUAGAAAGUCACGGCUAACUACGUGCCAGCAGCCGCGGUAAUACGUAGGUGGCAAGCGGUGUCCGGAUUUUUUGGGCGUAAAGCGAGUGCAGGCGGUGUCAUAAAUCGU